rnacentral:lncRNA from 1 species
UCCGCUCGCCGCCUCAGCGGCGCCGCAACCCUGCAGCGGAACGACCGGCGUUGCCGAGAGGCGCCGACAUCUUACUCAAGGGAGGAAGGAGCAGGGAGGCCCCCCCUCCCAGCUGCCCUUCUCUAAGAUGGCCGCCGGCCUGCCCCUGCUGAGGGGGCGGUCCUAAGAUGGCUGCGCCCACGGCGCGCUCACCAACAUGGCUGCCCCCGUGUGUACGGUGCGCAAGAUGGCGGUUCCGUCCCCUACGUUCCCCCCGGCUAGAUGCGAGAUGGCCGACUGAGUCGAGAGCGCAGGGUCAGGCCACGCUGCAGCUGCCUCCAGGGCGAUGGGACUGAGAGCGUCAAAGAGUUUGAUAGUUCCCUGGGAGGUCCCUGAGGUCUGAUGAAGUGAAGCAUCAAGAAAACAGUGGGAGCAGUAGAGAGCACUGCUGCUGACAUGAUGCUCUUCGGAGGGAAUGGAGCUAUUUCCUUGUUUUGAAGCAAAAGUGCCACUCGCAGUCCAUAUUCUAUUGAUAGCCACAGAUAAAUAUGUCAUCUCUCAGUCCUGGAUGUGCAGAAACACCUUGAAAAACCCGUCAGCUGCACUAAAGGAAAUGUUUCUUGCCAUGGGAAUGAGGGCACAUCCCUUUCAACUAACUUAGGGAAAACAAGUUUGACUCUUUUGUAAGAAUGAGCUCGUAGUUUCACCUGCACCCCUUGUUUUCCAAAAGUAGCUGAACAUCUCUUUUAGGUUGUUCCAAAUAAGAAGCAGCAAUAAUAGCAACUUUUUUUUUUUUAAAAAAAAACAAACAAACAAAUGUGUGUUUUGCCUGUACAGUGAAAGGCAAAAUGUAGCCUGCCCAUCCCUUCCUCCUUCUCUCCGUCGCAUCCUGCACCUGCCCACCCACCGUCCUACUUACAGGAGAGUCUGUUCUCAUCUGAAUCCAAAUAAAACUUCAGGCCAUCAACA